rnacentral:rRNA from 1 species
GACGAACGCUGGCGGCGUGCCUAAUACAUGCAAGUUGAGCGAUGAAGCUUGGUGCUUGCCCCAAUUUGAAGAGCAGCGAACGGGUGAGUAACGCGUGGGGAAUCUGCCUUUGAGCGGGGGACAACAUUUGGAAACGAAUGCUAAUACCGCAUAACAACUUUAAACAUAAGUUUUAAGUUUGAAAGAUGCAAUUGCAUCACUCAAAGAUGAUCCCGCGUUGUAUUAGCUAGUUGGUGAGGUAAAGGCUCACCAAGGCGAUGAUACAUAGCCGACCUGAGAGGGUGAUCGGCCACAUUGGGACUGAGACACGGCCCAAACUCCUACGGGAGGCAGCAGGAGGGAAUCUUCGGCAAUAGACGAAAGUCUGACCGAGCAACGCCGCGUGAGUGAAGAAGGGUUUCGGAUCGUAAAACUCUGUUGGUAGAGAAGAACGUUGGUGAGAGUGGAAAGCUCAUCAAGUGACGGUAACUACCCAGAAAGGGACGGCUAACUACGUG